UACGUAGGGUGCGAGCGUUAAUCGGAAUUACUGGGCGUAAAGCGUGCGCAGGCGGUUUUGUAAGCCAGAUGUGAAAUCCCCGGGCUCAACCUGGGAACUGCAUUGUGACUGCAUAGCUAGAGUACGGUAGAGGGGGAUGGAAUUCCGCGUGUAGCAGUGAAAUGCGUAGAUAUGCGGAGGAACACCGAUGGCGAAGGCAAUCCCCUGGACCUGUACUGACGCUCAUGCACGAAAGCGUGGGGAGCAAACAGGAUUA
rnacentral:rRNA from 1 species